CUUCCUUCUCUCUCUGUCUCCUUACUGCCAUGGGUUGAACCCCUGUUCCUUGGCCACAUUCAUCUGCCAUCCUUUUUCUGACCUGAAGCCAGCCACCUGUGGACUAAAACUUUGAGUCAAAACAAACCUCUAAAUUGAAUGUGGGUGACUGUCUCCCAACAGCAAGGGUUGUGGAGGAGAUCUCAUCUAUAGAGGAAGAAUUAAAAAAAAAAAAAAAAAACAGAGAAGCCUCUCACUUCAAAUGAGAUUAUGGAGCCUUGGUUUGAGGUCACCAAAAGGUUCCUUCCUGUGGGCCACUGGCAUGGACAGAGAGAGCUAGAAGACCUGCCUCCACCUGUGAGCUGCAGAUAGUAGAAGAUUUGCUUCCUGCUAACAGCCAGUGGAAACAGGAACACACAGCCAGAGAGAGACCAGGAAGAUACUGACUCUCCCCCGUUCUACCUGAUUCCCGCCGACACCUCAGGCAGCUCAUCCUGAGAAAGACACAGCAGUUUGAAAGGUGGGAUCACAGAGGCAUAAACUCAAAUUAGUGCCAUAUGUUGAAGAGCCUUUGUUAUUUAUGCCUGAACCAGAUGCUUCUAUCCCCUACAUUAUAUUUGCAAUCAAUCAUUUUUAAGUUCUUUUUCCUGAUGCAAUGCCAAUUUAAUGAAAGAAUUGUGCUUCAUGUUUUUUUUUUUCCUUCAUGACUACUCUCAUGACCAAAUAACCUCACUAUUUCAUGUCAGAAAAGUUCCCCUUGGAAUUAAUUACUUUGAAAUCAAAGCAUUCCAGGGCUCACAACUCUUUUAAAAACAUCAUUGGCAUUUCUUCUCAACAGAUUAUCUUCCAUAAUUGAAUGCAAUUUUUAUGUGAUGUCACAGGGAAGAGCACGGCAAUAAAAAUAUAUGGUAAACUAA